UCAGGCUCUGAGGGGAGCAAAGAUGGCGGCUGCUGUGUGUGAGGACAAGUCGCAGCACUGCGCUCACCCUGAGCUCCCAUGAGCUUGAUCUGUUCCCACAGCCCUACAGCCCAGUGCAGUUUGCCCUAAAAAAGCAUAGCUGCCCCUCCUGUUCUUCUCCAUAAGCAACUUCAUUUUCAGCCUGUGUCUUGCUUCAUAGCUAGGCAUGCCAGCUCCCAGAGCCACUGAACUGCCACAAAAAGUGAAAGAGCUGUGAGGGGUGAUAUUCCCCUUCAGCUUCCCCUGCCUCUCAGAAGACCCAUUGCAUCCAGUUCUCCUCUGGGUUUGGAGGUAAAGGUGCAAUUUCUGACCUUGUGUGGGAGAAAUCAAACUUACAUGGAGUUUCAUUUCAUGCACAUGUGCGCUCCUGUGUUAAAAUGUGGAAGUCAAUAUGGCUCAAGACCAUUAAGUCAGACUGAGCUAUCAACCGUCUGCAGAAACACAAUCUGGUUUGCUGGGCAGGGAUUUAUCCAAUAGAGAACUAUUGAUUCUCCUUAUAAAGAAAGGGAAGAAGAGUAAAACAGGUAUGUUUUAUGCUAGAGAAGGAAGGAUGAUUGCUUUAUUUCACGGAUGUUUUGCUGCACCUUAAUAACCUCACUGUUAAAAACAAAUUGCUUCACUUCAGUGGAGUUGUGGAUUCCAAUGUGCCUGCCUGGAGCAGCAGGAGGAGCAGGGCAGGUGGAACCAGCUGUGCUUCACCUGCAGCACGGCCCCAUGGCAAAGGGCUUGCCUGCACUGGGAGGAAAACACUUGGGAUUAUUUAGAGCAUGCACAGUCAAAGGAUUCAGAGAAGCUGUGCAGAUUUAGGAGUUGGAGAAGUUUUGUAAAGCACAGGAGAGAAAAAAGUCAAAUGGCUUGUUUGGAGGAUUUAUUGGGAAGUGUAACUUAGAUCCCUUUUUAACUCAGAUUUGUCUGUCAGCAUGGAAUAAAGUCUGGUUUGUGCUACAGCAGUUAUUAAUAGAAAAAUUGCAUUUCCUUAGAAAAAAGAGAAGCAAGAGGGUAAUUUUGGCCAAGUUUGUCUUCCACAGCAAAUUGCAAGAUUUGCAAUUAAUCUUGAGAGGAAUGAAUUGGAUUUUUUUUUCAAAGACCAAAUUAUAGAGGGGACCUGAUAAGUUUGUAUAAUAUUUAUUCAAGUAUGAAUACAGAGAGGAGGAAACAGUGUAUCUGCAUAUGUAUAUACAUCUUGUCACUUGAUACCCUGAAAUUCGAUAGUUAGGGAUGAAAUACCGUAAUCAACAGACCCUCAUCCUCUUAGGUCCAGUAUAGCUUUGGAGAGUUGGCAUUCCUUGUCAGUCAGUGUUCAUUUUUCCAGAGCCACCUUGGGCUGCAGUGGCUGGCUGUGAGUGUGCCUCGGUAAAGGCUUGUUCAGCCCUGCUGCAGCCCAGCUGGGCUGGUGAGGGAAGGGGCUGUGCCCUGGGGACGUGCACUGUGCCACCAGCACUCCUCCUGCUACCCUGCAGCCAGGGGCAGAGCUGGCAGGCGGCAGCAGCCACACCGCUGCCUCUUUGUGUCAUCAGGAUUGAGACAUCCCACUAAGGACACCUCCAGUCCCAUCUCCAGUGCCACUCAGCAAUCCAGGCAAUUCUGGGGGUGAGAAAGAUUUCUUCCUUUAUUUGCAGCUUUCUUUCCUUCUCUUGCCCAUACUUCCUGCUUUUCAAAGCAGUAGUUGUAAAAGAAUUUCAGGAAGUCAAUCUAUUAUCAGUCUUUACAGAUGUUUCUUCAACUUCUUGCCCCUUUCUGAAGUAAAUCUGUUUCCUUUGAAGAUGCAGUGCCCCUUUCCAUGGCCCCAGUGGGAGUUCAGCAUCCCCUGAGCAGGGCUGUGACCGGCCUCAGGAACACCCUGGUGAAGUUCUGGUUGGACAUACGCUGCUGUGUUCCUGUCUGCUCAGGAAAAGUGUGACAUUGUGGUUUCCUUGAAAUGCUCACCUUAAGACCACUUGGAAAUCUGUAAAUAUACUGCUGCUCUUGGGCAGGACUUGAAAUGUUCAGUAGCUUCAGAAUUACAGACCAGCUUCCCUUUGCUGUUAGAAUAUGUCAGCUACACAUAAUCUUAAAUAAAAUUGGUAUACCAGGUGCCAUGUGUAGAGCAGGGUGUGUCUUAACACAUUGUAUGAAAUGUGAUAUUUUAGACAAUAUUUCACUCCAAGGAGAUAUUUCAUUUAAACCCUUGAUGAUUUUGUAUUUGCCUCUUAUUUUCUUCCAAAAACUACAAGUCUGUUUUGACAAGAAUUUUACACAUAGAAACACUAAUAGCAUGGUAAUUCUGCUCAGAAACUGACAGUGCACAACCGGCAUCGGGAUAACCCCUUUCCCUGGUUGGAAUUACAAUCAGCCUCCAAAACUAAUGUUUAGGAGACAUUGUUAAUCUGCCUCGUGCUUACUCACUUGAACAAUAAGAUCAGGAUUCCCUCAGGCAGAGUGUAAUAAUCUUUUGUCACUUUUGGGAAAGGACGUUUCCAUUUAUUAAUUUUCACUGACGGGGACUUGGACUUCAGCAGUUGUAGUUUUUGAGCACACAGUGUUUCAUCUGAUUGAAUUUUUCCCAAUUCAUCUGUGUUCCACGAAUUUUGUGGCAGAAUUGUCAAGACUCUAGAGCUACAUCAAAAAUUGUGAGCAUCAAUUGGGCUUAAUUCAGUGGAAAUUUUAUUUCACAGCCGGUAAUUCCAGAGCUGCUGGGUGUAGCUGUCCCGGAGCGUGACGCUGGCUGUGAGGAAUGGUUUUCCUCCCGCAGGAUGCCGGCUGUGCCUCGCGGCUGUGCCGGCUGUGAAAUGCGCUCAGGAGACACCGGGGAGCCUUUGCAGGAGCCAGAGCCGGGGCAGGAAGCUGGGGCUGCUCUGUAAAAUCCCUGGAAAGCGAAGGAAAGAAGGGGCCAACCCCUGUGGCUCCCUGCUCCGAGUGCGUGGGCAGGCAAAAGGAGACUGCUGGACAUGGACCACGGGAGAUCACAGGGGUCUUUUCUGUGUGGCAAAAGAAGGAGCCUGUUAUCCAAGGAGAAGGGGUGGGGAAACCAUUAUAGUCUGGAGAAUUUUUAAAAGGCUGUAAAGAAAAUGUGGGAGAUCACGGUGUAGAACACCUCGUACAGCACGUCAUGUGUCACAAGAGAAACAGGGACAGCCUUCAGGAAACUCUCCUUAAUCUUAGGAGUGAGCAAGUGGAUCUGCAUUCUCCCUGACAAGGGUCAGAUCCCAAAUUAAUCUUUGAGUCUUUGUACUUUUAUACUUUAUGCUGUCUUGAUGUCACCUGAGCAAACAGUCCGGACUGAUAGCAUGGCAUAGCUGGAUGUUUGCAUCUCCUUCUGCCCUUCCAUCUGCUCAUGGGUCAGAUGUAUUUCUGAUAUUAAUUUAAAAUUAUAACAACGGUUUCUGGGCCACGUUAACUUCAUUAUUAGCAGUGUCGAGCAGAAUACCAAAGCAAAAUUGGAAGAAAAAAAAGAUUUUGAAGGCAGGGCUUGACUGUGUGUUAUUUUUAGCACUUUUUGGAGUGACUGUUCUUAACUGCCAGGAGCUGACAAGCAGGAGAAACACAGUGUGAAUCAAGAUGUUCACUUGUCAUCUGUUCACAUGUUUAAUUUGUGAAUUUGACAUGCAAAUGGUUCCUGUGCCACUGGUGUUGAUGUGGCUGAGUGAUGUACCAGCCGUGCUGCUGCCUUAGAGCAGCUCUCUGGGGACAGGGUCUUGCAGAAACGGGGGGUUCUGGCCAUGGCCUGGAGCCCUGUGGGGCUGGGCAUGAGAAAUUCUCCUUGGGUUACCAAGGCAGGACAUCCUAAUUUGUCUUAGUUCUCUGUUGAGAAUGUGCUUGUUUAAAAAUUUUAUAAUAAAACUGGAGAAAUAAAUCCCAAGGGGAGCUUUCAAAAGUAUUUUUAUGUAUGCUGAAAGUGGGAAAAUAGUCAAAAAUCUUCCAAAGAGGAUGAAUAUUUUUCACUCUCCAGCAGGCUCCAAGAUGUUCAGCAGGAGACAAAACGUGGUGUGUUGCUCACCUAGCCCAGGCAUGGACAGCUAAAGGCUCCAGGCCCCUGCUGGCCACUGUUCCAUGUGCACAUGGGUCCUGUCUGUGACCACCACGGGAGAGAGGACUUGUCACACAGAACACAGGGACAGGCAUUAAAAAUCAGCAAUUGUUCCAGCAAAGGAAACUGAAUAGAUUCCUCAAAUAGUAGAGAUGCAGAAGGAGGAGGAGAGUAACUGGGAGAAAGAAUGCGUGGAGAUGGAUUAUUGCAAGAGAAUGAAGGAAGCUACAGGUGAAAAGUGAGGUGAACUCAGAGAUAAACUGGCUGAAUUUAGCAGGGAAAACAACCAUACCUCACUGAGUCUGGAAAUCAAAAUGUCAAGAGGUUGUGUUAAUAGUUUUAUGAUGUGCUUUGUGGCAUGUUCCAAGCUACAGCAAUUUCAUAUAGUCAGAAAGACAGUGGAAAUGUUUCCACUUGCCAGAUUUUCCCAAGGCUUUCUGGUUUUUAACACUUUCUUGUCUGUGGUAUUUUUCCAUAUGGCCGAAUUAUUUCCCAGUACAAUGUGUGUGAGGGCUGAGCAGUGGGUACAAACAGGGUCUGACAAGAUCUGCAGAAGAGUAAUCAGCAUCUGUUAACACCAGAGCUGACGAGAUCCAGCAGCAAAGCCUGCAGAAUGACAGAAGGGCACGAGAUUCCUGAGCUGCAAAAUGUUCAGGAUGGCUUGCAGCGAGGAUUUGCACUCCUACCUACAUACACACUGCUCUUUGUGCAAUUUUAUGUGAUAUUUUUGUUUGUUUCUGGCUGAUUGCCUGGGUUUAGUGCAUGGCUUGUGCAGCAGCCCCGUGAGAAGGGCUCAGCCCAGCUCUGGGGCUCCUUCCUGGCUCUGCUGGGAGCAGAAAGCACUGCUGCCCAUGAACUGACACUCAGCAGAUUCUUUUGCUUGGUUUUGGCUUUUUAUCUGAAAGAGAAACAGCUCCCAUGUUUGUGUGCAGUAGUAGGGAAAAGGUUCCAUUGCCUCAGGCCUUCUGAUAGGGAUGUUAUUCCAAAAGCCUCAGCAGCUGAUCUGGCGAAGGAACAGGAAAACUUGUAUUCCAUAGUACAGCUGGACUCCAAUUCUACUGGAAUUUUAAAGCACUCGUUUAACAUUUUCUUCUGUGAUUCAAGUUAGCAUUAAAACUCUGACAACAGCUGUUGCUUAAUGCAGAAGUGGCAAAUAGAUUUUAAAAUCCAAGACAUUUUCCUUCCCAAAUCACUUACAUUCUUUCUACAGUACCUGAAAUGAUCAUAAGGGUUGCUGCUGGCUCAUAGAGCUAAUGAAUUGGAUUUUAAACUCUGUAUUUGCUACAGCUUAUGACCCCUAAUUUAGAAGAUAUAUUAAAUGUGGAAAAUGAGUACAGAAACAAAUCUCCACUAUUUGCAUUUCCUUGUCUGAUGAUAUGUAAGGGACUGAUUUUAAAAAAUAUUUUCUAAGUUCAAUAUAUGAAGACAUGGGCAUAUACUGAUGUAUUAUAAACAGACAGUAGAAAAAAAUCCAUUUUCUUGGGAAAUAUGUUGGUAAAACUAACUGUUGAAAAGUAAGAAAAAUAUUUCUUUAAAAAUAUCAGAUGGUCUUGAUUUUGUGAAGGGCUAAACCUUCAGUGCUGUACUGGCCUUGUACUGUUUUAUUACUUUUGUAUCCCAGUAAUUCCAGAGGCUUCAGAUGGGAUCAAGAUCCCUGUGUUCUGCUCCCUGCAUAAGCUUAAGAAUCAAGAUCAUCAGAAAGGAACCUUAAUAAAAACCUGUCAUUUAAAUUGUACUUAAGGUAAUCCGCAAAAUCAGGUUAUGGCAGCCCUGAUUAGUGUUCACCUACUCAUAGCUGUUUUCCUAAUUAGUGCACAUGGGCCACUUCUCUUUGUAUUUAGCUCCAGCAGGACAGAGCAGGGGCUUUCCAGAGGAGUUGGAUGGUGAGGAUCACUCACUGGGGAACCCCAGUGUGUGUCUGUGGGUUGUUGUGGGGCAGCACCUCCACAGACGUGUGGCUUUGGGGUUCUGCAGGCAGACACCACGCUAAUGCUGCAGAGCAGAGACAAUCCAAGCUGCAGAACCCCUCAUCCUGAAUAAAGUGUUGCUGUGGGGUGCCUGUAGCCUGUACCCUCACUGCUGGGAAUGAGGAUUUCAACUCUGGCCAUGCUACAGAUAGUGUUUAUCUGUAGCUAAGUGGCUAAAUAGUCAAAAAACCUCUUCUUUUUUAAUGCUUAAUUUCCUUCUUAUCAGAGUCAAAGUGUAUGACUACUGCAACUCCCUUGUGUGAAAACCAGAGAUCUGACUGUGCUGUCAGGGGAUGGGAGGAUUAAUGACUCAUGCUAAUUGUAUGCUUGGAAUAUGCUGUUUGGAAGACUGUAAAUAUCCACGAUCAACUUGAAUGAUCUGAAGUUAAUGCCCUGGCUGGGCAUUUCAAUUCUCCGCAGAACUGAAAGUACCAAAGGCUUUUGUGGGACCUGUCUGAAGACACAGUUCCCUCCUCUGCUUCUCCCAGUGCUUAGUACAGCACUAAGUCAUGAUUAAAAAUCUCUGCCAAUGCAAGAAUUUGAAAGUCAUACAAGCUGUCAGCUCAGCUGGACAGAGUCGGAGCUGUGUGGCUCUCCUCAGAGACCUUGGCACUGGCGGCGAUCGUCUGCCGGCCCUCAGUCCUUUCAUUAGUUCUGCUUGUCUAAAGAUAUUUGCCUUUGGCUGUUGUGGCUGCUGGUGGCUUCAGCCAUCCUCCAGCUGGCUGUGGAACGUGCUCCCGUCCCCUCCUUCCUGGAACACAGCAGAGCCACAGCCAUGGGCUUGUCCUGGCUGGAGAGCCUCCCCAGCUGCUGGGACACUGCCCUCCCCUCAUAGACACUGCCCUCCCCUCAGAGACACUGCCCUCCCCUCAUAGACACUGCCCUCCCCUCAGAGACACUGCCCUCCCCUCAUAGACACUGCCCUCCCCUCAGAGACACUGCCUUCCCCUCAGAGACACUGCCCUCCCCUCAUAGACACUGCCUUCCCCUCAGAGACACUGCCUUCCCCUCAUAGACACUGCCUUCCCCUCAGAGACACUGCCCUCCCCUCAUAGACACUGCCUUCCCCUCAGAGACACUGCCUUCCCCUCAGAGACAGAGACACUGCCCUCCCCUCAGAGACACUGCCUUCCCCUCCGAGACACUGCCCUCCCCUCAGAGACACUGCGUUCCCCUCAGAGACACUGCCCUCCCCUCAGAGACACUGCCCUCCCCUCAGAGACACUGCCUUCCCCUCAGAGACACUGCCCUCCCCAGACCUCAACCACCUCCCAAACUUCCACCCCACUAACUUCAACCUUGGGCUUUCCGGCUCCUUCCAAACCCUGCCCUGCCCUCUGCCCCACCUUUGGUUUCCAGCUGUGCUUGUUGCCAGCGAUCCGUGGAGCAAAGCAUAAAAAGCUGACAACCUGGCAUUUUUUCCUGCUACUCUGUAAUUUCAAGCUAAAUAUGGAUCCGGGUCUGCCUUGGCUUGUUUUGGAAUUGCCUCUUAGUUAUUUUGGCACCGUUUCCCACCAGUGUAGUAGGCUGCCAUGUGUAUAGACUGUUAGCUGUCGUGGAUGUGACUCACUGUUCACUUCAAACAGUACCUGGAUUACAAUCAAUCAAUGAAAUAUAACCUGAAUUUCUGUAUGGCCCUUCUGGCAGAGCCUUCCUGAAGCUGCUGCAGGACCUAAUUCUCAGCUAGCGCUCCCCAAUCCUUCGGAAAUAACACAAGAUGGCACUCUCAGGUAUUACCACUUUCAGAUUCACUUGGCUCUUAGAAUUCCUACUUAACCCAACAUACUUUGUUUCCCAAAUGAUUCCACAACUUUCCUGCUUCAGUAAGAUGCCCUUCAGGUAUAAUGAGUAAGUUUUUGGUUAAAAAUAACCAAAAUGCUAUUGAGGGCUGUAAAAGUCAAGCCAAACCCCAGGACCAGGAGCAUGUGAAAUUCAGGCCCUACUCAAAGUAUCAGUUCCUCAUUUUUCAGAGAAAAAGUCCAACACCCCCCUGCUUUUGCUGUUUUGUUAGCACAGUGUGUGUGUUAGUAACUUGUUGCUUAGAUGUUUGUGUGAGUUUGAGUCAGAUGUCAUCUCUAAAUGUGUGGAUAGUGCUAGAACAUAAGUAGAAAAGUUCACCCUCUGCACAUGCCUUGGGUAGUGGGUAAACGGAGCAUUUUGAAGGUGUAUCACUGGUUGCACAGUAUGAAAACUCUUCACCAAGUUAGUGAUUUCUGUGAGUUUGGAUCGAUCAUUUCCACUUAUUUCUCAGCUCAGAUGGAGGCAGCCAGAUUCCAGAAGAUAAGAACAUUUUCAGUGAAAAGUUACUGACAGUUUAAUAGAGAGAAUAAAUUUGUGGUUGCAACACUCACAAUAGUGAAAAUGGGUGUGUUUUUUAUUCUGAUAAUAGAAGCAGCAUUGUCAAAAAUAUCAACGUGGGAAAGCUCUUGUGAGAGCUAUCAACAGAGAAUUUUCUGAGGAAAAAUUAUAGGCUUUGGCUGGUGCCUAGAGUGGAUAAAUUCCCUUUUCAUUAGACACCAUUGGUCAAUGCAGCUUCAAUAUUUACAGUUCAACACCUACAAGAAACUCAGGACUUUUCUUGGGGACAAAAUGGUCCCAUUCCAGUAUUCAUAGUGCAGUGCUCACAGCUGUCAAAUUGAAUUUCCAAGUGCAUUUAAUUUUGUUCUUUGCUUGGAAUGUAGAGGAGACUGGCCUUGGUAAGCCCCAUAACUGCUCAUGGAGCACUUGCUCUUUGCUCCUUCCUACUUUGCUUUAGGAAUUAACCUGGACAGCCCCUCUUAUUCCCAGAGUUCAGUGCUGGUGGGUUAAACAUCAAAACUAACAUUGGGGCACAGUGAAGGGCCUGUCUGUGGCUGUACUUUGCUACAUCACAGCUCACACAGCAAAUAGCAUCAUGUCAGGUGACUGCAAUGGAUACAGGGCUGCAGAUGUAUGUCUCUUUGUAAUUUCAACUCUAUCAGCUUUCUGUGCUCCAGAGCAUAUCAAUCCUGUUCUUUGGACACGUGGAUUACUUAAAUGUUUCCCAAUCAGUUUUCCUUAGGCAGAGCAUCUCUCAGUUCCAUAAGAUGCUCCAGCAUUUACACAGUCCAUUUCCUUCCUGUCGCAACAUCCUGGAGCUAUUUCUUCAGAGACAGAUUGUUUGAGUUUCUGCAAGUCAAAGAAUGUUCAGUACUGCAGAAGAAUCACUGAAGCUGCCAUCACACGGUGCUUCUGGCUGCACACACCGCAUUCUGUUCAUUUCUUUCACCUUCCAAAACCUAUUUGGAAAGCGCCCUUGGAGUGCUUUAAAAAUGUUAACACGUUGUCAGUCACUAUGUUGUCAGAGCUGUUCAUUUGUCCUUUCUUGCUUACUUGGAGCUUAGAAAUGAUUAAGGAAUGGAGCUGUUCCAGAAGCUUGUAAAUACUGACAGGUUUUUCACUGUUCCCGGUUCCCAAUAGGUUUGUCCAAACUCAACAGUAGCGAGCAAACACACAGGUAGUGUACCCAGCUUUCUCCCUGGUUUUGUAUCUUAUUCUGUGCUAGAACAGAUGCCCCACGUUGUUUGGGGUGCAGCUCUGUGUGCCAGGUACAGAAGUUCUGUGGUGAAAAUGAGCGUUCUCUUGGAGCCCUCAGGUGCUCACAGAGGUGCCACAUCUGCCCUGGGCUGGCCACGCUGCCUGCAGAGCUGCUGGCUCUUUCCUUGUUCCUUCUCCAUGUGCUGUAAAAUCACCAUCCAUAACAACUGAUGGCUGCUGUAGAAAUAACCUCUUUCUUUAAGCAGCCCUUUUACUAUUGGAGGUCAUAUGCUUUUCAGGAGAAUCCAAGCAAUGUUUUUGUCACAGUCAAAAAAUGCUGUGGAAGAAGCUCUGAAAGAGUGAAUAGAAUGGAUCUCUCUCACAUUAAGAACGUUUUCCCACUCUCAUGAUGUUAAACGUGGUAUUUGAGUGGUUGUUCAAGAACAAAUGUGGCCUUCAGUAGGGCUCCAAGCAAGGCAGAGCUGUAGUUUGUUGAGCAUCAUCCGCUCUUUCCAUGGCUCUCGUCUGGGAGGGCAGGGCUGGGCUCACAAGCUGGGCACAUGAUAAGGGACAGGGAGUGCUUUAUUUGUUGUUUAUGUCUCUGGCAGCUACCACAGGAGACUGGGCGGCUCAGCUGGCCUUGCCUUGCCCAGGGGGUGACUCCAGAGCUCCCUCCUGUGCACAGCAAUCUGUGGAUGGGAUUCCAGAGGCUGCACAGCAAGGUGUCCAUGCAGAGACAGUCCACCCCUUCCCUCUGCUGAAUGCAGAGCCACAGCUAGGGCUGAACUCCAUUCUGCACAACUCAAAUGUUCUGUAACUCUUCAAAUCAUUUCCUGUGCCAGAAUAAUUUGGAUGUACAUAUUUGAGUAUUAAAAAUAGUAGUUCUGUUUCCCUGUUUGUCCUUUUCCACACAAAGUGGAAGCUUGAAUACACAGCUUCCUUGAAUACACGUGGGUAGUUUUUUUAAAGAAACAUCAAGGAAUUUUUUUCUUUUUUUUCUGAAUUUUAAACUCAACAGCCAAUGUACUCAACCAAAACAGCAGAAAAUACUAAAAUGGAUGUGAAAGGACAGUGCAAACCAUCUCACCCUCGUUCAAGGCCUGCUCGUGUGCAGUGGCUCUGUGCUAUAAACACGCCGUAUGUUCCAGCCUCAGUUGUCAGAGCUCCUCGCUGCCUGUGCUCUGGAGACAGGGGAGCAGAUGGUGCUGGAGCUGUGCCACGAACAAGGUUUGCACAUGCGAGUUUCUGAACAGAGACAAAUUGGCUGAAAAGGGGACUGGGUGUUACCCGUGGCUGCUUGGUGGAACUCUGCAAGAACUUCUUCAGGGGUUUGCAGAAAAUGAGCCUCUUACUCCCACUCUGAGAGUGGGGAAAAGUUUCCAGACACUUGUGAAACCCCACAAUAACCAGGAGUUUGGUAGAAAAUUAAAUUAUGUCUCAAACCUAAACUUACUCACCAUUGCAAGUCCAUCCUAUGGCCAUUAAGGAUUCAGCAGUGUGAAAGCUGACAGGAACAACUUCUCUGAAAGGAAAUUGUUCUGUGUUUGCUUCCAGCCUCGGAUGCAGUUUUCUCUGAAGUGAAAAA